rnacentral:rRNA from 1 species
GUGAUCCGCCCUUCGGGGUGGUGAAAGUGGCGCACGGGUGAGUAACGCGUGGAUAAUCUGCCCGAGGAUUUGGGAUAACAUCUCGAAAGGGGUGCUAAUACCGAAUAAGCCCACGGGGUCUACGGAUCUUGCGGGAAAAGGGGGGGACCUUCGGGCCUCCUGUCCUUGGAUGAGUCUGCGUACCAUUAGCUAGUUGGUGGGGUAAUGGCCUACCAAGGCGACGAUGGUUAGCUGGUCUGAGAGGAUGAUCAGCCACACUGGAACUGAGACACGGUCCAGACUCCUACGGGAGGCAGCAGUGGGGAAUUUUGCGCAAUGGGGGAAACCCUGACGCAGCAACGCCGCGUGGGUGAUGAAGGCCUUCGGGUCGUAAAGCUCUGUCUGGAGGGAAGAAAUGAUUGGGAGCUAAUACCUCUUGAUCUUGACGGUACCUCUGAAGGAAGCACCGGCUAACUCCGUGCCAGCAGCCGCGGU